AUCUUCGUCUCGCUCUCGCACAUGCGCGAACCGCCCUAAGUGGUGUGCCAGACGUGGUAGGAUGUGAGCAUGCGCAGGGCUAUCCCUGCGUUUAGCCGGUACGGAAAAUUAGCUCCGCCUCCGUAGCUCUGAUUGGCCCAGUUAAACCCCAGUGUGCCUGAGACCUACUUGAAGGACUUUGCACCUGUGCGGAGGGGCUGAGCAACCUAGCACUAAGUGCCUGAGAUGAAGAAAUGAAAAGGCAGAAUCCCUGCUUUUGAAUUCCUUGCAGUCUUCAACUUAGUUUUCCUAGAGGCUCCAUUGAGACAGGAUCUGCACUAUCCAUCACUGCCAGCCUUCAGCCAGAUGAGGUACUCACAGAGGCCCCGGUGCCUUGAUGCCUGUGGCUGUCAAGUCUGUGCCAACAUGAUAAAGAAACAGAGCCACAGAGCAGUUAAGCGACACACGCAAAGUUGUACGGAUGAGGGCAGAGCUGGGAUACCCAGUUUGAAGCCCAGGAACUCCAUCUCCAUAGCUCAUGCUCUUGAAGACAACUAAAGCGGAAAAAAAUCCCAUAGCAUCUUUAUGUUUUUUCUUUUCUCCACUCAAGUAAUACUUAACGAGUACUUCUGAAGUACCCAGCUGCUGGACUACAAUGUGCUGAAAAUAUAAUGGCCUAGUGAAGCUGAAGUCUUUCCUGCUUUCUUCUUGGACGACAAAGGAAUUUGUGGUGGAAAACAGGAGCUGGAAUAAGCAGGCCCCAGUCCUCGAACACAGUCAGCACUACCACAGCUACAUCAGACCCAUUCUCCCAAACUAAGAUCAGAUCUCACCCACCAUGGGAGACCAUUCAUUCUCUUUUUAUGGCAGAGAAGUUAAGUUGAAUUUCUGCUACUGAAAUCAAAGAAUCUUAAUGCACAUAUAUGCUUCCUCUUUUUAAAGUUCCAAUGCCAAAGAAGCCAUCAUGUUCCCUACAUGGGAAGGGGAAAAGGUUUGUAUAUAAGAAAUGAGAAUAAACCUGAGGAAGGCAAAUGAAGCUCUUAGGGGAUGAUACCAAUUUCCUAGGCACCAACUGCUGAAAUUAUCUCCCCUUCUACCCAUACCCAACAGCCAGAAAUUUUUAGAGAAAUACGAACAGCAGCAAAAGGAGGAAUCAGCCACCAGGAUGCAUGGAGAGACACCAGCAAACCAAGUAUCUUAUCUCAACUAAAAAGAUUUAGUACUAGAAAGCUGCAGUGAAGUCUCAUAUCUCGAAAAUUCAUUACAGCCAUAAAAAGCACCACCAUAUUUUCAUGAGCUAUUAAAACAAACAGUUAAAAAUAAAGCCCAUUUGGUAUCCAAUAUCCUUCACAUGAUCAUAUUUUUUCAUGUAUUUGUGAAGCAACAAAAUUUGGUUAACUGCAAUACAUCUCCUUGUAACUCGUUCAGAUUUCCCCAUUCUCUUUUGCAUCCUAAAAUAAUAAGCUACAAGUUCUCUAGCCAUAUAAAUUACAGAGACAUAUCACAACAGGAAAUACAUGCUCUUUGUUUCUCCUCUUCACCUUUCUCAACUUAUCUUUUAUUUUAACAAUUCUUUUUUUUUUUUUGGAAGGGGGAGGUAGAUAAUUAGGUUGGUUUAUUUAUUCAUUUAUUUAUUUAAUGGAGGUACUGGGGAUUGAACCCAGGACCUCAUGCAUGCUAAGUAUGCACUCUACCACUGAGCUAUACCUCCCCCAGUAAUUUAACAAUUCUUAAUUGAAAUCUCAACAAAUGUUGAGUGGCAUGGGCAUAGAAUAGUAUAAAGGGAGGGCAAUAACAUUUACUUGGAAUCUGUUAUGUGCCCAUCUCUUUGUUUGUUAUUUUAUUUCAUUUAAUACUAGCUCUAAUUUUUAAAGCAAGUAUUGUUACCCCUCAUUUUUCUGAUGGGGAAGCCUCAAAGAGGGGAAGUCAUUUAUCCAAGUUUAAAUAGCUAUAAAAUAGCUGUGGUAGACACCGUUGACUGCUCGUGCAUGACUAUUUCCUUCUUUGCGGGUGGAACAUACUUCUUCUUGAAGAAGCUGAAAAUGCUGAGUACACUUUAUCUCAUGCCUCUUUGCUGCUAGGACAUGAGCUUUCAUGCAACCUAGUCAAUGGGGCCCAAGGGAAAGUCUGCUGGGGACUUUAGGGAAAGUUUUCUCCCUGGUUAAAAAAUAAAAUACACAUAUACAAGAAGGAUCCUCUUUCCUCCCACUUUUGGUUUUGGAUAAGAUCUCAUGAUGUGGUACCUGGAGCUGUCACAGCCUUCUUGAGACUAUGAGCACACAAACCUGAAGAUGAAGUUGAAUCCUCUAGAACACUUCAAAAAUGGCGAAAAGGAAAAGUGGUCCUUAAUGAAAUUUUUGAAUUCCUCAUUUAACUUACCCUGGAACCCCUAUACCUCAGGACUUAGAACAGUGCUUGGUGGAUAUUAGGCACUUAACAAACAUCUUUUGAAUGAAUAAACAAAUGAUUUUAACUUUUCAAAACUUGUCUUCAUAAAAAAGAAAUAUCUAGCAAAGCUAAAUCUUCAUCUACCUUCUGACCCAGCAAUUCCACCCCUAGGUAUAUGUAGAAAAAUGUUAUGUGUCCACAAUAACUAUGUGAAAAAGCAUUCAUAAUAGCUCCAAACUGGAAACACCUGAAAUGUCCAUCAACAGGAGAAUGGACAAAUAAAUGCUGGAAUAUUCUUGCUUUGGAACACUAUACAGCAACAUAAAAGAACAGACUAUUAAUGCUCACAAUAGCAUGGAUGAAUCUCAGGGAUGUAAUAUGGAGCAAAACAUAACAUACACGUGAGUACAUAUUAUUUGAUUCUAUUAAAUAAAGUUCAAAAACAGGAAAAACUAAUCCACAGUGACAGAAAUCAGUGGUUACCUCUGGGAAGGGGGAAUAAUUAUCAAAGGUUAGGGGCAGGAGAGACUCUCUUGAGGUGACUUGAAAUGUUCUACAUCUUGAUCUGAAUUGUGGUUAGAUGGGUUUAGACAUGUAAAAAUUAAGCUGUACACUUAAAAUGUAUGCACCUUACUGUAUAGGUUAUAUCUUGAUUUUUUUAAAGGGCAAAAAAUUUUUGGUUUUUCUUUUAAAAGAGAUACAAGAAA